rnacentral:rRNA from 16 species
CGCAGCUAACGCAUUAAGCGCCCCGCCUGGGGAGUACGGCCGCAAGGCUAAAACUCAAAGGAAUUGACGGGGUCCCGCACAAGCGGCGGAGCAUGCGGAUUAAUUCGAUGCAACGCGAAGAACCUUACCUGGUCUUGACAUAGUAAGAACUUUCCAGAGAUGGAUUGGUGCCUUCGGGAACUUACAUACAGGUGCUGCAUGGCUGUCGUCAGCUCGUGUCGUGAGAUGUUGGGUUAAGUCCCGCAACG